AGAGUUUGAUCUGGCUCAGAAUCAACGCUGGCGGCGCGCCUAACACAUGCAAGUCGAACGAGAAAGUGGAGCAAUCCAUGAGUACAGUGGCGUACGGGUGAGUAACACGUGGGUAAUCUACCCUUUGGUGUGGAAUAACUCUGGGAAACCGGAGCUAAUACCGCAUAAUCCUGAGAAGGUAAAGCAGCAAUGCGCCGAAGGAGGAGCCCGCGGCCGAUUAGCCAGUUGGUAGGGUAAUGGCUUACCAAAGCUAAGAUCGGUAGCCGGCCUGAGAGGGCACACGGCCACACUGGCACUGAAACACGGGCCAGACUCCUACGGGAGGCAGCAGUGGGGAAUCUUGCACAAUGGGGGAAACCCUGAUGCAGCGACGCCGCGUGAGCGAUGAAGCCCUUCGGGGUGUAAAGCUCUUUCGGCAGGGAAGAUUAUGACGGUACCUGCAGAAGCAGCUGCGGCUAACUACGUGCCAGCAGCCGCGGUAAUACGUAGGCAGCAAGCGUUGUUCGGAGUUACUGGGCGUAAAGGGUGUGUAGGCGGCUCCUUAAGUUUGGUGUGAAAUCUCCCGGCUCAACCGGGAGGGUGCGCCGAAUACUGAGGGGCUAGAGUGCGGGAGAGGAAAGUGGAAUUCCUGGUGUAGCGGUGAAAUGCGUAGAUAUCAGGAGGAACACCGGUGGUGUAGACGGCUUUCUGGACCGUAACUGACGCUGAGACACGAAAGCGUGGGUAGCAAACAGGAUUAGAUACCCCCGUAGUCC
rnacentral:rRNA from 1 species